CCCUUAGAUGUUCUGGGCCGCACGCGCGCUACACUGUUCGACGCAGCGAGUCUUAACCUUGACCGAAAGGUUUGGGUAAUCUUCAGCAAAGUCGAACGUGAUGGGGAUCGAUCAUUGCAAUUAUUGAUCGUGAACGAGGAAUUCCUAGUAAGUGCAAGUCAUCAGCUUGCGCUGAUUACGUCCCUGCCCUUUGUACACACCGCCCGUCGCUACUACCGAUUGAAUGGUUUAGUGAGAUUUCUGGAUUGACGCUGGCUAGGGGGCGACCCUUGGCCAGACUGUUGAGAAACUGCUCAAACUUGAUCAUUUAGAGGAAGUAAAAGUCGUAACA
rnacentral:rRNA from 1 species